UUAUUACAACUUAGGAUGAAGAUUUUGCCUUGGACAAUGGAGAGGGAUUCUUCUCUCUUCUCAUCUUUUCUUUCUUGUUUGAUGAUGAGGCAGAGGUGUUAAAAAAAAGGCUAUGAUGUUUGCAUUUUGUGGGUUUUGAUUUUGACAUUUGUUUGUUUCCAAUAAUCGCUUAUUUAAAUUUUAUAGUUAUCAAAAAGGUUUUAUUUUUAUUCAAAUGAGAUAAAUACGAAGGGUUUUGAGAAAGUCUUGAAAAGUAUAGAAAGUGAUUUGACAAUCAUGAAUCUUCACGAAUAAAAUUGAGCGAUAGAAUAUAACACAUAAAAUUAGUUGAAAUUGCGCAAGCUAGUCCAAUAGAAUUGUUGGUUUGUGAUGCGGCUUCAAAUGCACUGUUGUUCCUUUGGAAGCAAUCUUCAUCUUUCUUUUUUUUUCUGGCUGGGUUAUGGGAAGAGGUUUUAUAAUAGAUGUGAGAGAGCAAGUGUACACCUAUUGGGUUGCGUAUAAUAUUUUUUCAGAUGAAAUCACAGCAAGACGGUGAUUUAAGUGUAAAGACAAACUCCAAUACUGAAUUAAGGCAUAAAGUAGAUGCAUAAUAGUUACAAAAGUACAGUAGCAAAAGCAUCAACUCUCCUUCACAUUGCUAGUUAAGAGUCGGGGAGCUGGCAAAGUUCAGAAAGGAGCCGGAAAUCGAGAGGGAUAAAUAAACCAACUAUACAAAAACAUGAGGCAAGUAGCUUUUACAUUAAAAGCAUCUUCUAUUACUAUCAUUCCAGAUACUCCAAAAAAUGGCUGCAGGUAUCAUUUCCAAAUUCCCUUGAUGCUGCUACCAACUUUCAAAGCAACUACAGCUUAUCGGUAAAUCUUAUCAUGUUUUCAUGACACAGAAAAUAUGAAACACUGACUAAAUGAACUUUGGAUGAAGGUGGACUUCUAUAUAUUGCCCAAAUAAUCUCACUGCUAGAAAUUCUCCACUCCAGAGUUAUAACUUAGUAAUCCUAAUUACAGCUAAUACUUAAACUUCAGAGUUUUACUGUUAUAAACUCAAUAUAUUUGCAGCUUCUUGGUGCUUUUGUAUAUAAAGUAUAUCCUUAGGAUGAAAAAGAUGUUUUAAACUCAACAUCAUCAAUCAGCCACAACUGUCUAUAAGAGCCUUAAUAUGUCGAUGAAGCAGAAGGAUUGGAGUAGAUUAACAGCAAGCAUAAACUUGUCUAAUUAUGAUGAAUCCUAAAUACUGAAUCUUGUAGAGAUGAAGCAGAUAAGGGAAUCAAACCAACCUUAUUCGAGAUUAGCCUAGUUCAUGAUUGAUUGAUUGCUGGUUUAACAUACCUCAAUGAGAGGCAAAAAACAGGUCAAAAACUACAUUGUAAGCAAGAAGACAACAAAAAAAGAAACAUGUAACUGUUUCUUCAACAAAGAUCAAAGGGAAAAAAGGGAGCUCCAACUGUUGUAUGGGUUAGAAAGUACAGUUCUGGGAAAGAGAUGUUCAUACAUGAUUGUUGACUAAAUUUCUUCAGUGAUUUUUCAUUGAAAAUUUUCUCACCUAUGGAAAAAAAAAAAGCGGACAG